rnacentral:rRNA from 1 species
CCUACGGGAGGCAGCAGUGAGGAAUAUUGGUCAAUGGCCGGAAGGCUGAACCAGCCAUGCCGCGUGAAGGUCAGUGCCCUAUGGGCGUUAAACUUCUUUUGUGCGGGAGCAAUAAUGGUCACGUGUGGCCAGACGAGAGUACCGUACGAAUAAGCAUAGGCUAACUUCGUGCCAGCAGCCGCGGUAAUACGGGGGAUGCAAGCGUUAUCCGGAUUUAUUGGGGUUAAAGGGUGCGUAGGCUGUGAGGUAAGUCAGCGGUGAAAUGCCCCCGCUCAACGGGGUGAAGUGCCAUUGAUACUGCCUUGCUGGAAUGCGGAUGACGUGGGAGGAAUGUGUGGUGUAGCGGUGAAAUGCAUAGAUAUCACACAGAACACCGAUUGCGAAGGCAUCUCACGAAUCCGCGAUUGACGCUGAUGCACGAAAGCGUGGGUAUCAAACAGGAUUAGAUACCCGAGUAGUC